rnacentral:rRNA from 1 species
GACGAACGCUGGCGGCGUGCCUAAUACAUGCAAGUCGAACGAACUCUGGUAUUGAUUGGUGCUUGCAUCAUGAUUUACAUUUGAGUGAGUGGCGAACUGGUGAGUAACACGUGGGAAACCUGCCCAGAAGCGGGGGAUAACACCUGGAAACAGAUGCUAAUACCGCAUAACAACUUGGACCGCAUGGUCCGAGUUUGAAAGAUGGCUUCGGCUAUCACUUUUGGAUGGUCCCGCGGCGUAUUAGCUAGAUGGUGAGGUAACGGCUCACCAUGGCAAUGAUACGUAGCCGACCUGAGAGGGUAAUCGGCCACAUUGGGACUGAGACACGGCCCAAACUCCUACGGGAGGCAGCAGUAGGGAAUCUUCCACAAUGGACGAAAGUCUGAUGGAGCAACGCCGCGUGAGUGAAGAAGGGUUUCGGCUCGUAAAACUCUGUUGUUAAAGAAGAACAUAUCUGAGAGUAACUGUUCAGGUAUUGACGGUAUUUAACCAGAAAGCCACGGCUAACUACGUGCCAGCAGCCGCGGUAAUACGUAGGUGGCAAGCGUUGUCCGGAUUUAUUGGGCGUAAAGCGAGCGCAGGCGGUUUUUUAAGUCUGAUGUGAAAGCCUUCGGCUCAACCGAAGAAGUGCAUCGGAAACUGGGAAACUUGAGUGCAGAAGAGGACAGUGGAACUCCAUGUGUAGCGGUGAAAUGCGUAGAUAUAUGGAAGAACACCAGUGGCGAAGGCGGCUGUCUGGUCUGUAACUGACGCUGAGGCUCGAAAGUAUGGGUAGCAAACAGGAUUAGAUACCCUGGUAGUCCAUACCGUAAACGAUGAAUGCUAAGUGUUGGAGGGUUUCCGCCCUUCAGUGCUGCAGCUAACGCAUUAAGCAUUCCGCCUGGGGAGUACGGCCGCAAGGCUGAAACUCAAAGGAAUUGACGGGGGCCCGCACAAGCGGUGGAGCAUGUGGUUUAAUUCGAAGCUACGCGAAGAACCUUACCAGGUCUUGACAUACUAUGCAAAUCUAAGAGAUUAGACGUUCCCUUCGGGGACAUGGAUACGGGUGGUGCAUGGUUGUCGUCAGCUCGUGUCGUGAGAUGUUGGGUUAAGUCCCGCAACGAGCGCAACCCUUAUUAUCAGUUGCCAGCAUUAAGUUGGGCACUCUGGUGAGACUGCCGGUGACAAACCGGAGGAAGGUGGGGAUGACGUCAAAUCAUCAUGCCCCUUAUGACCUGGGCUACACACGUGCUACAAUGGAUGGUACAACGAGUUGCGAACUCGCGAGAGUAAGCUAAUCUCUUAAAGCCAUUCUCAGUUCGGAUUGUAGGCUGCAACUCGCCUACAUGAAGUCGGAAUCGCUAGUAAUCGCGGAUCAGCAUGCCGCGGUGAAUACGUUCCCGGGCCUUGUACACACCGCCCGUCACACCAUGAGAGUUUGUAACACCCAAAGUCGGUGGGGUAACCUUUUAGGAACCAGCCGCCUAAGGUGGGACAGAUGAUUAGGGUG